GUAGGGGAGCAAGCGUUGUUCGGAAUCAUUGGGCGUAAAGAGCGCGUAGGUGGUUUGGGUAAGUCUGUUGUGAAAUCCCAUAGCUCAACUGUGGAACUGCGACGGAAACUGCCAGACUUGAGUGCGGGAGAGGAAAGUGGAAUUCCCAGUGUAGAGGUGAAAUUCGUAGAUACUGGGAGGAACACCGGUGGCGAAGGCGGCUUUCUGGACCGCAACUGACGCUGAGGCGCGAAAGCUAGGGGAGCAAACGGGAUUAGAUACCCCGGUAGUCCUAGCCGUAAACGAUGGGCACUAGGUGUGGGGGGUAUCGACCCCUUCUGUGCCGUAGCUAACGCAUUAAGUGCCCCGCCUGGGGAGUACGGUCGCAAAGACUA
rnacentral:rRNA from 1 species